UCCUUCAAAUCUAUCCUUUUUGUAUGGCUCAGAAAUCUGGACGCUAUAUCUAUGAUUUGUUUCUUUUGGUCCAAAGAACAUUUAUGAUUGUUUUUCAACUUUUUUGGACAAAUUGAGAUGAACAAACUAGAGGUGCAGCAACUAGUUGCAACAAAUCUAAUACAAACUGUAACAUAAAUAAGAUGGCCAGGCAAGUACAGAUGUGAGAACGUUUAUCACGAAUUCAACUAACAAAAAAUUGGAUAUUUCUACUCUUUAAAAUUGUGCGUGAAAGUCAACAUUCAGAUCAAUAUGGUUAAUU
rnacentral:rRNA from 1 species